rnacentral:rRNA from 1 species
UGGGGAAUAUUGCACAAUGGGCGCAAGCCUGAUGCAGCCAUGCCGCGUGUGUGAAGAAGGCCUUCGGGUUGUAAAGCACUUUCAGCGGGGAGGAAGGCGAUAAGGUUAAUAACCUUGUCGAUUGACGUUACCCGCAGAAGAAGCACCGGCUAACUCCGUGCCAGCAGCCGCGGUAAUACGGAGGGUGCAAGCGUUAAUCGGAAUUACUGGGCGUAAAGCGCACGCAGGCGGUCUGUCAAGUCGGAUGUGAAAUCCCCGGGCUCAACCUGGGAACUGCAUUCGAAGCUGGCAGGCUAGAGUCUUGUAGAGGGGGGUAGAAUUCCAGGUGUAGCGGUGAAAUGCGUAGAGAUCUGGAGGAAUACCGGUGGCGAAGGCGGCCCCCUGGACAAAGACUGACGCUCAGGUGCGAAAGCGUGGGGAGCAAACAGG